GUGCCAGCAGCCGCGGUAAUACGGAGGGUGCAAACGUUGCUCGGAAUCAUUGGGCGUAAAGCGCACGUAGGCGGCCCAGCAAGUCGGGUGUGAAAGCCCUCGGCUCAACCGAGGAAGUGCAUUCGAAACUACUGGGCUUGAAUACUGAAGAGGGUCGCGGAAUUCCCGGUGUAGAGGUGAAAUUCGUAGAUAUCGGGAGGAACACCAGUGGCGAAGGCGGCGACCUGGGCAGAUAUUGACGCUGAGGUGCGAAAGCGUGGGGAGCAAACAGGAUUAGAAACCCCGGUAGUCC
rnacentral:rRNA from 1 species